rnacentral:lncRNA from 1 species
GCACGCGCUGCAGGCACGCGCCCGGCCCGGCACAGGUGCAGCAAUCCGCGCGCGAGCCGGGGCCGCCCCUCCCUCACCUCAUCCGGGGGCUGCAGCCGGAGGGGAAGCAUCUCCGCUUGGAGACUGCCUCCUUUUGGGGUUUCCAGCGAGCCCUGCUCCUCACGAGGGUUUGCCCACUGGGAUGUUGAUAUCCACUGAGCCCCUAAAAAUCAGCUGAUAGCAGUGUGAGUAAGUUCUGGGGUGCCAAAACCUCACUAAGAAGGUCACAUCUGGAAGAACUGACAAGCGAACCCCACAGAAUUCAAGAUUGACCUGUGGUGGACUCCACUGUGUUUACUGCCAAUUUGGGAUGAUGCGUUGCUGUAAAGUGCUACCAAUAAAUGGGAAGUUUGGGCUAGCAGGAAAAGAACAGCAUGAUGCAAAACUAUACUCAGACUGGAGUGCUUACCAGUGUGUUUGCUAGACAGAAGGAGGUUUAUUUCCUUCUCAUAAGAGCUGCUAACUGCACUGCAGUGGUGGAAAUGACUGUGAACUUCAGAAUUCAAGAAGGCUGUUCUAAAAAAUACUGCAAAAAGUGUGAAAAUGCUCUAAAAGUAUAGCUGGUCAUCCUAAGUACAAAUGAGAGAUCUACAAGGUGUUAUUCCACCAGAGGAAGAUCCUGUACUCUGCAGUCCCACUACGGACCUGACUGUGGCAGAGGAGGAGCAGCCAUCUACUUACAGGUCAAUUCUGAAAGGGUACUCUGAAGCGCUGGAACAUUUAACUCACAGUGAAGAAAUACUGCCCAGCUUCUGUUCAACAUCAUCGUCAGCCGCUUGGUUGGGCGAUUCUGGCCAGUGCACAAGGAACUGUAGGAGCCCUUCAGUGAUUACAGGACACCACAGAUGGCAUCUGCAAGGCUGAACCAUGGGGAUGAUGCUGCCGUUUUUGCAGGCAAAAGCUAUAGAAAAGUGAAGCAGGAGUCCCAAGAAAAUGCCUGGACUCAUGAGAGCUAAUCACAGCAGGGUCAUAGGAGGCAGAUACGUUUGCAGGACUGAUGCAGAGCUCCAUUGCUCAAGGUGGAUCCUGAGGAAUAGUUGCUAUUUAUUGCAGCCCAAUGUAUUGGAAUUCAAAACCAAGGAGAUCGAUCAUCCUCGCAUCAGAUCUGAGGUUUGGUACAUAGUAUGCAUUUUUUGCAGUGUGGUGGAACAAAGCAAUUAUUUCACAGCUGAAGGAAAACCAGAAGAUAUUUAAAAAUGGAAAGUUCCCUUCCCAAGCCAUAAUGGAUGACGACGGUAGUAGAAGUAAUAUAUUCAGAGGGACCAAAACAGGAUAACAAUUUUUCAGAAGCUGAAGAAAUAUAUGAGGGAAGAAGAGAGAUUGAUACAGCAGCAUUGGAACCAGCUUUGUCCUUGGAUUGCAAGGGAAUGGAGAAAUGAGGUGUCUUCACAGAUCUUUCUUAUGUGACCAAGUGGCAGAAAAUGCUGCAGAAAUCUACUUCAGACAGUUAAGUAUUCAGGUUACUGAAAGCUGUGUUUACUAUUUUUAUAUCUAUGGUUGUGAGCUAAGUAUUUUUUUUUUUUUUGCCUGUUCACAUCCUUGCUGCCUGCAGAGCUUCCCAGUUGCUAGGCUGUGUUUAAUAUAUUAUUUUCCCAUUGAGACAUCUAUGCUCCCUGUCACAUCUCUGUUGUCUCUUUUCAGUACUGUAUGAGCCCCAUCUCUGGCUUCUCUAAAUGUUAAAGACCUCUCUUCCAGUUAUUUAUACAGUAUUUAAAAUACGUCCCUUAGUAAUCUUGACUUCAUCAGCCUGACCCCUCUGAACCACCAUUCACCCUUGGUUCAUCAAAUCAGGUUCAGCCUUCCUGCCUUUAGCUUAGGACAUUUUAAUUCUUUUUUUCUGCAUAAUGUCUGUUUCUGUCUCCUAUAUUGAGAUUUAUUAAAAUUAUUUAGCCAUUUUAAGAUGAAACCGUAUGUCUAGUUGAGUGUUCAAAAUCAGUGACUACCUAAUUCCCUCUGAGACUAACACUCAUUCAUUCUCCUCAUUAACUUAGCAAGAGGACUUAGAGUCCAGCAUUGCAGAUUGUCUCCAGGCUUUCAUGCCUGAACUUCUCUUUCACUGUUGGGGGCAUAGAUCCUUCCUCUUCUGAGGACAAAGAAAUUUGGUGUCAUCCAGUCUGUGGAGAAAGUUUGCUGCAACUUGGAAUGCUGUUCUACCAAACAAUUCCUUUCUUCCAUCUGCGACACAAUUUUUUAGGGUUUUCCGAUUAAUCCAAAUACUGAAGAUAUUAUAAAGCCACAGAAACUGCUUUAGGCCAAAGAUGGCAAUUACAGCUAAGAGCUAGAGCUAACUGAAAGGCUUCCUAUUUUUUAACAUUUUUCUGUGGCUUUUAAGAUCUUUUUGUGUCACUCUGGAAUGAAAACCAAGUGCACAAAGACUUUUGGCAAAAAUGGGACUUCGCAAAAUGUUCAUCUUUGGCUCCAGAAACUGUUUUUCUUCUACUCUCAUCUUCUAGGAAGCCUAUUGUAGAGCUUAGAAAUAAUCCUGUCAGAACUUCAUCAAAGCCAGUAUUUGUUUUCAAAAUGUUCUAGUUUUGGCAUAAUAUUAGUUGGAGAAGAAAGUAUUUAAUCCAAAAUUUUCUGACUAGUUCCAUAAAUGUCAUUACAUUAAUUAGGUACAUAAGUAACAGUAGCUGAAUUAGCUAUGUUUACGCAUGUCUAGUCAUCUGAAAGAAUAUGAAGUCAGACAGGACUCAAGGGUUGGCUCAGUAAGUGUCAUAAAUUUUAGUAACCCCUGAUCUUGAUGCUCAGUAGAACACAUCUGUGAACAAAACUAAUUGAAACAUCAAGAAAAAGUCAAAACAAAUGAAAAGCAUUAGCAAAAAAAAAAAAAAAAAAAUUAAUUUAGAGUAAUACGUUAGGGUGAGUGGCAAAUUAAAUUGCUAUCCAAGUCCUGACGCAGUUUUUUAUUUGAAACUAUAACGUGAUUAUUGAUCAAAUGAAUUAAUUCUAUUUUGAUGGUAAUAUUAGCUUUUAAGUAACACAUAAACCUAAAAAUAGUUUAAUAAGGCUUCAGGGUCAUCAUCCUCCAAUAUUACUGUAAUCAGGAAUAGUUCCAAUGAAUAUAGUUAUGUUGUAUUCAUGAUACGAUAAAGGCUAUAUAAUUGAAAUCAAAUUUAGAGUUUUUUAAGGUUUUUAUUCAUUAUCUGAUUAGCCUACUACCUCAUAUGAAAGUAGUCAAGUCUUCUGAAUCUUACUCAUGCUGAGUGAAGACAUAUCUGGAUAUCGUGGAUAUUUCUGAGCCAGUUACUAUCGUACUCAUAUACAGUUUCUUCUGUAGUUUCUUUCUGGUUUUGUGUGUGUGCAUGUGCAUUUAUUUCAUAUGACUAAGAACCUCUAUCUAUCUGAAGAGUUGCAGGCUUUGGUUGCUAUUUCUCUACGGAAUGACUGGGAUGGCAUAUGAUGGUGCUUUGCAAAAGGAGCAGAAAUAAGUUAGCCUGAUGAAAUUUGUAGGAGAUGGCAGCAUCUGCUAACUCCAAACUCAGUCCUUGUGUUUGCUUUCGGUUCUUUUGAAACUAGUUUCUUGUGAUGUAUUUUAAAAUACAUAUUGUAGUACAGUUUUUCUCUAAAGCAUGCACUAUCAGAGAAUCACCUCUGAUGUAGAGUUGUCUUUUCAGACUUGCGGAACACAUUUCUUGUUUCUUAGAAUCUUUUAAAAUGUUGGUGUCUAGUACGACCCAAUGCACUGAAAUAUCUUGUAUAUAAUGCUAUUUUCUAAUGAACCGUGAUUCUCUGGUUCUGUCAAGAGUCGUGCUCAUAUUAGUAAAGGCUAAAUAGAGUACCAUUAUGUAUCUAGCAGAGAUAGUCCUUAACAGACUUGUCAAGUCUUAAGCAGUGUGCAUAAAAGAUGAAGCAUCUUGUUACAUCUGAUACCUCCAACUCAAGUGCUCCUAGGAAGUCACUGCCUUCCUCCCUUCUCCAGGACCAUGCAGGCCAGACAUGGCUUCUCACAUCACUCAUGGAGGGCUGGCUCCUUUGCUGCAGUCAUCUGCCAAACUCUUGUUACACUGAGAACCUCACAUCAGAUUAAAAGUUUCAUAGAGAUAUUCAGACAUCAGUCACUCACACCACAUUUCCUGCCCCCACGGCAAUACAACUGUAACCCCCCAAGAACUCUACAGAAUCUGACUUUGUAUAGAAAUUAAUAUUGAUUAGGUAGCACAACUGAAAAAACUUUCUAAAGUGUGCAGUAACAUAUAAAUUAGAAUUCUGUCCCUCCACCAUGUUCUGAACUAACCAUGUUCUGUUGAGAGUGAAGCCUGAAUGGAAUUAGCACUCACAACACUAUGCAGAGCAUAGUUUCAGAUUAAUUUAUAUGAUAUGAUGAUGAAAAUAAAGAAGACACCGACCAAAGUCUUCAGAAAUCCUAUGUUGAAAUAAGGAAAUACCUUUCCAUUUUAAUAAUUGUUGAUAUGGUCAGUGUCAGCUUUUUUAUACAGUAAAGGUAUGAAAGUCUGUGUUGUGUGAUUAGACAUUAAGCACAUUCAUUGAGGGACGAUUUCAUGGAGUCCCUGAUAUCAGUGGAGCAGUGGCAGCUGUUGGGCUUAACUUUGCCCAGGUUUAAGUACUUUUUAAAUUUGAAUAUGUUGGAGUCUAAAGUAGGAAUGAUCAUUCUUACUUUUCUUAUUCAUUCCAUUUUAUAGGGGCUUAAGAAACUAGGGGAAUCAGGCCCUUUGUGUAAUACAUAUCGUCUUACAUGAUUUCCAAUGAAGGAUAUUUUCAAGUAGGAGCUUAAGCUUAAAAAAAAAAAAAAAAAGAUUAACUUAAUUACUCUUGAGAUAUGGUAGAAUUCCAGUUGGCCACCUGAAUAAACAUACAAUUUUAUCAUUUUUUUCAGUGUUUCUGUGCUGCAGGAGUACAAAAGUACAGAUGCAUCUCAUGAGUAUAUAAUAAAGAGAAAAUAAGCUACCAUACCCUUUUCAAAAGAACUAAUCAAGUACUAAAAGGAAAAUUAAUGCAAAUAAAAUAUUGAUUAAGAACUAAAAGGAUUUUAAUUAUAUUACUUUCAGAAAUAAUUUAAUUUAACCCAAACAGACAACUAAGAGCAGAUAUUUUGCCUUAGCAUUUUUCAGAUUGCUAAUUAAAAUUUCUAGGAGGAAAUUCAAGUUUAGUGACUGGAUUUUAAAGAUAAAUAAUGCUUGCUUCUUUUCAUAAUAGUUUUAUAAAGGUUUACAUAGUGCCAAAAUAUAAUACUGCAUGCACAUUUUUUUAAAAACAAUCAGAUAACCUGGAUGCUCCAUACAACCACUGGGGGUAUCGAGCACUCUCACAUUAAGAAAACUUGAAAAUUAAGUGUGUUAAGGUUAAAUAUCUGUCAUAUGUUUGUUAUGUAGAUUUAUAUCUACAUUGUUUAUGAAAUUCUUUGGAGAUAAUUGCUUUUUGGUAAGAUAAAGGCAAUUAUAGUGAUAGAGCACUCUUUGUGCUUCCAUUGCCACUGAGUAGCAAUUUUACUAUUUAUCUGAAAAGAGAUGUAUCUGAUUCUUUAUUCUCUGCCAUAAUGACUUGAUCCAAAAUCCAGUGAAGUAAAUGGAAAUUGCUCAUCACUCUAUAAUUUUGUAUAGCAUUUGGCUUUCAAUGCCACUGCCUACUUUACAUUGUAUUAUUUAUAAGACUGCUGAUCGCUUACAUAUACACCACGAAAUGGAAUGGGAAUGCAGUAAUACAGAGGCACAACAUUUGGAAGCUUUCUACAAAGAAUCUUUUACAACUACAAAUUCUUCACAGAGCAUUAAGGCAAACUGCUCAGAAUUUAAUUAAGCUCCUUUCAUCUUCUUUAGAUGCAGAGUGCUAAAUUAAAGAGAAAAAGAUGAUACUGAGCUACCUGUCCAAACACUUUAGGCAAAAAAAGGUAUAAUUAACAGUCCUUAACAUUAGAUUAGGGAGCAGUAUCAGAAAAUCCCCUUUAUGCCAAGACAGAGGGCUAGAACAUGCCAUGGGGACAUGACAAGAUUCAGAACCACUCUAAAGAAAAUUGUUACACAGAAGAAUCACGUGUCCCAUUAACCAGUGCUCCCUCUCUUGGGCCACUGUAUGUACACAUCAUAAAGCAUGUGACAUACAACUUCUAUGCAAUUUGAAACAUUUCCUAAAAAUUAUGCAAUGCAUGUCUGCGCUACUAGUCUCACUUUGUUAGUCUGCUCACUAGUCUCACUGGUCUCAAUUUUGAAAUUUUGAUUCAGUUAUAUCCAACUUUUCAACCAACUUGACAAGAGGAUUGAGGGGGUCUCAAAAUAUGAAAAUCAGAAGAGAUAGAAAAUCCCACAGAGCCCCUAAUAAUCUGCAGCACACUUUUGUGAGUUACUAAGUAAUAGGUAAUCUAUAAAACGCAGCAAUGUUGCAACACCAGUCUAUGCAAAGCUUUGGUUUGGUCUCACUUCAUAACACUAGAAACUUGGAAGCACAUAUCUGAGGAAACCAGGCUUCACUACACUGUUGCUUAUGGAAGUAAUUCCUUCUAAGAGAUGAAUAGUAAUUUACACAUUAUUGGAUUAUCUAAUCAACAUAAAAAUGAUUUUACUUGAACACAGGGGAGCUUAAGAGUUUGUCCUCUCCAUAGGCUUUGUCAGAGAUGUAUUAUUGUGCUUGAUGGACUUGAACUGAUAGGGUUGCUUCUCUGUUCCUUUGGCUUAGUCAUGAACAAACAAAAACUAAUUUUGGCCACUCAGCAUUCCGUGAACCAUACAAUCCUCUGCACAUGAUACUUCUGCAAGAGUAAGCUUUAAAAACGAAACUCUUGUUCUCCGUAGGCACUAGAGAUGCAAAUUUGGUGGGACAGAAUCUGAAGGCUAUCUGUCUUCUCAGUUACCCUUUCUGCAACGUAAUAUUUCCUUUGCACUUUGAAGUGGUUGUAUUUAAGCUCAGUUGUGUACGUACAAAAUGAUCUCUGACGAUGAAAGGUAAUAUGAAACGAAAGAAAGACUUUGCAACAUGAAAGGCAUGAAAGAGGAAGAGAAGUAAAGGAGAUGCACUGUUGUUCACCAUUAAUCAUUUCAGCUGGCUACACCUACGUUAAAAAUGCAUGUGCAUGUAUUUACACAACACACAAACAUGCAACGAUGCAAACAGUACACUGCAUGUUUGUUAUGUACAUUGAGUGCAUGUGCGGCUACAACAGAAGUAAAUGAGAAUGAUACUGAAACAUGAGGUGUAAGCUAAAGGGAACGUUUGAACGGCUGGAUGUUCAGCGAUGUAUGGAGCUGACAUUUGCAAAUCUAAGUUAUAUAUUCUGUUUUCAUUUCUCGACCCUGUCAGCUAAGCAAUCCUUCCACCAGACAGAAAGAGGGAAGAAGGGACAUAAUCCUGAGAGAGCCGAAUGAAUAUAUAUGUUUGCAAUUUCCCUUGAAAUCUGCACAGAAAAUAGGAGUCAACCCUAAAUUCAAAUAAAUCACUGCAAAGACUCACUGACAGUUGCAAGCUGCUUCACCGUACAUAUUCAUUCGUGGCCCUGAGCCAAGCAGAUUCUUUCCAUGCACCUAACGCAGCAAUUACAGAGUCUGGUAAAACUGAGACAGAAAUUGAAAACAGGUUAUUCAUAAAGAAACAAGACGGAAAGUGCCCAAACAAAAAGUGAAACAGUUCAGAACCUGCCAGAAUCCUGCUGAUCUAUCAAGCUAAAGAAAAUACUGGACAUCAGCUGCCUCUUAUAGAAAUUCUUCUCUAGUCUGUGAUUCCAUGAAACUGCUUCAUCUGCACACUGCUCAACAGAUCGAAGCUCAGCUUCCGUACUUGGAAGCUUCUGAUGCUUUUGACUUAUUUCCUGGAGAAGCAAUAAACUUGGAGAGCCAUGUUCUUGUUCCUAAUUAUAUAAGAAUUUUACUGCAGGAUGUGGCAAGAAUAUUUUCCUUACUGCAGAGUGUUACAGCUGCAGUCACCAACAGCAGGAUUUCUGUAUACUUGCUCUCAGUAGAUCACUCAAAAUCUACAGUGGAACAAGAGUUACUUGGCCUCCAACAAACAGCUCUAUUUCACUUUCACUGUUAAUUCUGCAAAAAGAUGAGACUCAGCUGUGUGAUCUAUGCUCGUGGGGAUGCAAAGUUUGGAUGCAAAUUUGACAAAACUGAAGAUGGAUGUCUUCUAUUUACAGAAUUACCAUUCCAAUUAAACAACACUUAUUGCCAUUAGUUUGACAUCAGUUCUCUGAGAUUAAACAGAUUCUUGAUUAGGCACGUCCUGAACAAGUGCAAUGCACUGUGCAAGUGUUUUAAUAUUAUGCACCAGUGGAUAUUUUGAAUUGCUCAAUUAAACAAUUCCUAAAUUUAAAAUUUAAAAAUAAAUAAAUAAAUAAAUAAAAGAAGAGAGAAAACUACCCCACAAUGUACAAAAGAAAAGUUAUUAUAGCAUGAUGGCACUUCCUUUGGAGCAAAUGGCAUUGAAAAGCUUACCAGACUAAGAUGUACACCUAUGCAAGAUUUACAUUAUGCAAAAUAAUAUCCUAACAGUGGCAGUACAGGAAGACAGUAUGAGCAAAUCAGUGCUUAACAAGCUAAUCUAUUAAACAUGUUACUUAUGACUUCCAACAGUUUUCAAGCAUGUAAGAUUUUUUUUUUUAAACCUCUGGACAAGAAUAUCUCCAUCAUUUUAUAACAAUAUUAUGAUAUUAUUAUUAUGUCAGUGUGACGUGUACUCUCCCUCAUUUUCAUAUGCUUUAUUGUAAUAUUUUCUCAUUUUCUCUGACACUGAUUAUUUUAGUUUACAGUCACAGCCAGAGCACUUGUAAAACUAAAAAUAUUUGUUGUUCUUUAUCACAAUACAGAGAUUAAGUGUAUUUGAAUCCAUCUCCUCUGACAAUCAUCAGCUGAGGAAAAUAGAUCAUUUUUACCUGAUGCACUGAUUAUAGACUGGGUUUCAUAAAACAGCAAGGAAUGUAAUGACCUUUCAACCAUUCUUCAUUGCAGAAGAAAUCAUCAAGUUCUUUAGACUCCAGCAGAGCAUUCAUAAAUAGUAAUGCUUAUUUAAGGUAAUUCAAUGUGCAAUAAAAGAGACAUAGAGAAGAAUCCCCAUUAGAUUGAAUAAACAGAAGGGAGUAAACUCAUGCUGUGUAUUUUUUCAUUUCUAAAUAAUUAUUUAACAUAAUCUGUACAAGAAUUUGAGCUAUCUUCAUUCUCUACUGCAAUACAAUGUAGAUUACUAUAGGAUUGUAAAUAUUGGUCUUCUAAAACUGACACUCACUGUUAUUUAGGGUAAUCAUCCUCCACCCAUCCCCAACCUGAUUAAAGUUUCUUCAGUCUUCCAGCCAUCCCCACCAACUUGGAUGCUUCAGUUUGUGGAUCAUGCACCAUUACUUUAUCAGAAUAAUGCUGAUUUUCACAACUGAACCAAGCAAAUUAUUUGAUAUCUGAUUAAUGAUUCCAUCAAAAUGGAUCUUAUUUCUCUGUCUCAUCAUAAAAUAGAAUUAAUAUUAAGAAAUGUCUGAUUACAUUCGUAAAGAACUACCCAAAUGAACUGUUGAUCUGGACUCUAUAGAAUUCAAAUUCUCCAUACCAUUCUCUCCAUGAUCCUGCACUUCAUGGCCCAAAUUUUCUUCCACCUACAUUAGACUUCCCCUAGGAUAACUACACAGACUUUACUGGAAAUAUGCUGGUAUAAAUCACAGAUAGCAAGAGAUGGACUCUAAAAGAUAUUUAGAAAAGAAAUUGAAGUUCAUUUGACUUUUUAAUAAGAAUAAACAAAAACCCCAAAAUAACACCUCCACUCUAGCUCUGAAUCCCAGCUCUUGAAACAGGAUGUUAUCAAUUCCUUUGAUAAGAAAAGAAAAGAAAGCUGAAUAAACCUAUUAUCUUUUCUGUGUGCCUAUUUUCACUUUGAUGUAAAAUAAAUAAAAAAUGAACUGACAAUUCUAAGAUAUGAAGACAC